rnacentral:rRNA from 1 species
GCGUAAAGGGCUCGUAGGCGGUUUGUCGCGUCGGGAGUGAAAACCAGGUGCUUAACACCUGGCUUGCUUUCGAUACGGGCAGACUAGAGGUAUUCAGGGGAGAACGGAAUUCCUGGUGUAGCGGUGAAAUGCGCAGAUAUCAGGUGGAACACCGGUGGCGAAGGCGGUUCUCUGGGAAUGACCUGACGCUGAGGAGCGAAAGUGUGGGGAGCGAACAGGAUUAGAUACCCUGGUAGUCCACACCGUAAACGUUGGGCGCUAGGUGUGGGGUCCAUUCCACGGAUUCCGUGCCGCAGCUAACGCAUUAAGCGCCCCGCCUGGGGAGUACGGCCGCAAGGCUAAAACUCAAAGGAAUUGACGGGGGCCCGCACAAGCGGCGGAGCAUGCGGAUUAAUUCGAUGCAACGCGAAGAACCUUACCUGGGUUUGACAUACACCCUGCCGCUCCAGAGAUGGGGCUUCUUUUGGGGGUGUACAGGUGGUGCAUGGCUGUCGUCAGCUCGUGUCGUGAGAUGUUGGGUUAAGUCCCGCAACGAGCGCAACCCUCGUUCUAUGUUGCCAGCACGUAAUGGUGGGGACUCAUAGGAGACUGCCGGGGUCAACUCGGAGGAAGGUGGGGAUGACGUCAAGUCAUCAUGCCCCUUAUGUCCAGGGCUUCACGCAUGCCACAAUGGCCGGUACAAAGGGCUGCGAUCCCGUAAGGGGGAGCGAAUCCCAAAAAGCCGGUCUCAGUUCGGAUUGGGGUCUGCAACUCGACCCCAUGAAGUCGGAGUCGCUAGUAAUCGC